CAGCGACAAUAAUUCUAGAAAACACGUC
rnacentral:sRNA from 1 species